UGAUGACCAGGUUUGCCACAA
rnacentral:snRNA from 1 species